rnacentral:rRNA from 1 species
UACGAAGGGGGCUAGCGUUGCUCGGCAUGACUGGGCGUAAAGGGCGCGUAGGCGGCUGGUCCAGUCAGAUGUGAAAUUCCUGGGCUUAACCUGGGGGCUGCAUUUGAUACGUGUUGUCUAGAGUGAGGAAGAGGGUCGUGGAAUUCCCAGUGUAGAGGUGAAAUUCGUAGAUAUUGGGAAGAACACCGGUGGCGAAGGCGGCGACCUGGUCCUUUACUGACGCUGAGGCGCGAAAGCGUGGGGAGCAAACAGG